GACGAACGCUGGCGGCGUGCUUAACACAUGCAAGUCGAACGGAGUGGCGAACGGGUGAGUAACACGUGGGUGACCUGCCCUGCACUUCGGGAUAAGCCUGGGUAACUGGGUCUAAUACCGGCUAUUGUGGGAUGGGCCCGCGGCCUAUCGGCUUGUUGGUGGGGUAAUGGCCUACCGAGGGGGCGCCGGGUAGCCGGCCCGAGAGGGUGGACGGCCACAUGGGGCCUGAGGCACGGCCCAGAGGCGUACGGGGGGCAGCAGUGGAGAGUAUUGCACAAUGAGCGGAAGCCUGAUGCGGCGACGCCGCGGGGGGGAAGACGGCCUUCGGGUUGGAAACUCCUUUCACCAUCGACGCGGUAGAUGGAGAAGAAGCACCGGCUAACUACGUGCCAGCAGCCGCGGUAAUAC
rnacentral:rRNA from 1 species